rnacentral:rRNA from 1 species
GACGAACGCUGGCGGCGUGCUUAACACAUGCAAGUCGAACGGAAAGGCCUCUUUCGGGGGGUACUCGAGUGGCGAACGGGUGAGUAACACGUGAGUAACCUGCCCUUGACUUUGGGAUAACUUCAGGAAACUGGGGCUAAUACCGGAUAGGAGCUCCUGCUGCAUGGUGGGGGUUGGAAAGUUUCGGCGGUUGGGGAUGGACUCGCGACUUAUCAGCUUGUUGGUGGGGUAGUGGCUUACCAAGGCUUUGACGGGUAGCCGGCCUGAGAGGGUGACCGGCCACAUUGGGACUGAGAUACGGCCCAGACUCCUACGGGAGGCAGCAGUGGGGAAUAUUGCACAAUGGGUGGAAGCCUGAUGCAGCAACGCCGUGUGCGGGAGGACGGCCUUCGGGUUGUAAACCGCUUUCGCUCAUGACGAAGCUUUGUGUGACGGUAGUGGGUAAAGAAGCACCGGCUAACUACGUG